UCAGGAUGAACGCUAGCGGCAGGCUUAACACAUGCAAGUCGAGGGGCAGCGUGGAGUAGCAAUACUCUGACGGCGACCGGCGAAAGGGUGAGUAACGCGUGAGCAACAUGCCCGGUAGUGGAGAAUAGUCGAUGGAAACGUCGCGUAAUACUCCGUAACAUAGGAGACCGCAUGAUCUUCUAUUAAUAGAUUUAUCGCUACCGGAUUGGCUCGCGUACCAUUAGCUAGUUGGCGGGGUAACGGCCCACCAAGGCGACGAUGGUUAGGGGUUCUGAGAGGAAGGUCCCCCACAUUGGAACUGAGACACGGUCCAGACUCCUACGGGAGGCAGCAGUGAGGAAUAUUGGACAAUGGCCGAGAGGCUGAUCCAGCCAUGCCGCGUGCGGGAAAGACGGCCCUAUGGGUUGUAAACCGCUUUUGUUGGGGAGCAAUAAGGUCCACGCGUGGAUUGAUGAGAGUACCCAGCGAAUAAGCAUCGGCUAACUCCGUGCCAGCCGCAGC
rnacentral:rRNA from 1 species